CUACAAUCCCGAGCUAUCGUGGUAAGCAAUUGCCAAGGAAAGUCCGGACAGCAUAGGGUAACCCACCGGUCAAUAGCCGGCAUCCCAGCAAUGGGGUAGAGAAAGUGCCACAGAAAAUAACUACCUCGCAAGAGGAAAAGGUGAAAACGUGAGGUAAGAGCUCACGAAUAAGACAAGUAAUUGUUUUAUAGGGUAAACCUUGGGUGCUGUAAUGCCAUGUAAAGGAACGUUUGAGGGCGACUCGUCCGAGUUCCAGGGUAGGCAGCAAGACUUUAGCAGUAAUGUUAAGGCUAGAUAAAUGAUAGUUUAGAAACAGAAUCCGGCUUAUGAGGUUUGUAGUUAC
rnacentral:RNase_P_RNA from 1 species